rnacentral:rRNA from 1 species
AGGGUUUGAUUCUGGCUCAGGACGAACGCUGGCGGCGUGCCUAACACAUGCAAGUCGAGCGAGAAAUUUUUAACGGAUUCCUUCGGGGAGAAGAUAAGGAUGGAAAGCGGCGGACGGGUGAGUAACGCGUGAGUAACCUGCCUUUAGGAGGGGGACAACAUUCCGAAAGGGAUGCUAAUACCGCAUAAAAUUAUUGUAUCGCAUGGUAUGAUAAUCAAAGAUUUAUCGCCUAAAGAUGGACUCGCGUCCGAUUAGCUAGUUGGUGGGGUAAAAGCCUACCAAGGCGACGAUCGGUAGCCGAACUGAGAGGUUGAUCGGCCACAUUGGGACUGAGACACGGCCCAG